CCUACGGGUGGCAGCAGUGAGGAAUAUUGGUCAAUGGACGAUAGUCUGAACCAGCCAAGUAGCGUGAAGGAUGACUGCCCUAUGGGUUGUAAACUUCUUUUAUAUGGGAAUAAAACGUUCCACGUGUGGGAUUUUGUAUGUACCAUAUGAAUAAGGAUCGACUAACUCCGUGCCAGCAGCCGCGGUAAUACGGAGGAUCCGAGCGUUAUCCGGAUUUAUUGGGUUUAAAGGGAGCGUAGGUGGAUUGUUAAGUCAGUUGUGAAAGUUUGCGGCUCAACCGUAAAAUUGCAGUUGAAACUGGCAGUCUUGAGUACAGUAGAGGUGGGCGGAAUUCGGGGUGUAGCGGUGAAAUGCUUAGAUAUCACGAAGAACUCCGAUUGCGAAGGCAGUUCACUGGACUGCAACUGACACUGAGGCUCGAAAGUGUGGGUAUCAAACAGGAUUAGAUACCCUAGUAGUC
rnacentral:rRNA from 1 species